UCUGUUAUCCUUUCCUACUGGUUACUCGAUUCUGUCCUUUACUGGAUGGAGUAGUAUCGCAAGGUAUCGCUUGGUGUUAUGUUGCCUCUGAUCGUAGUAGUUGGGUAAAACUGGCUGUGAAAAUGAGGGGAUCACAAUAUAAUAUUAAGUGGGGUUCCAGUUCAUUUACUUUGAGUAAAUUAGAGUGUUCAAAGCAGCCUCUUGGGGCAUUGAAUAGAUUAGCAUGGGAUAAUAGAAUAGGACUUUUGUCUUUUUAUUGGUUUAAAGAUUAAAGGUAAUGAUUAAUAGGGAUAGUUGGGGGCACUUGUAUUCAAUAGUCAGAGGUGAAAUUCUAGGAUUUAUUGAAGACAAACUUCAGCGAAAGCAUUUGCCAAGGAUGUUUUCAUUAAUCAAGAACGAAAGUUAGGGGAUCGAAGACGAUUAGACACCGUCGUAGUCUUAACUAUAAACUAUGCCGACCAGGGAUAUGAGGAUUUGAUUUAUAUUAUUGAUUUAAUAUAAUUCCUUGUGCACCUUGUGAGAAAUCAUAAGUUUUUGGGUUCUGGGGGGAGUAUGGUCGCAAGGCUGAAACUUAAAGGAAUUGACGGAGGGGCACCACCAGGAGUGGAGCCUGCGGCUUAAUUUGACCCAACACGGGAAAACUUACCAGGUCCAGACAUUAGAAGGAUUGACAGGUUGAUAGCCCUUUCUUGAUUUAAUGGGUGGUGGUGCAUGGCCGUUCUUAGUUGGUGGAGUGAUUUGUCUGGUUAAUUCCGAUAACGAACGAGACCUCUGCCUUUAAAUAGAGAUAAUUAUAUGAAAGUAUAGUUAGCAAAAACUCUUCUUAAAGGGACUUUUGGUUUUUAAUCCAAAGGAAGUUUGAGGCAAUAACAGGUCUGUGAUGCCCUUAGAUGUUCUGGGCCGCACGCGCGCUACACUGACAAGUUCAAAGAGUAUAUUUAUUUAGUCUUUUUCUGAAAAGAAUGGGUAAUCUUUUAAAGCUUGUCGUGAUGGGGAUAGAUGAUUGCAAUUAUUCAUCUUGAACGAGGAAUUCCUAGUAAGCGUAAGUCAUCAGCUUACGUUGAUUACGUCCCUGCCCCUUGUACACACCGCCCGUCGCUACUACCGAUUGGAUGAUCCGGUGAAAUCUCUGGAUUGCGAUAAAAUACUGUGGGUAACUACAGUUUUAUUGUGAGAAGUUGAGUAAACCUUAUCAUCUAGAGGAAGUAAAAGUC
rnacentral:rRNA from 1 species